GUCAAGGGGACGUCUGGCUCUAAGGACCCUCCCUCCCUGGCAGCACUGGGCGAGCUGUCUUUAGCCAGAUUUUCUCUAACUCCCCCCACCAAAAUGCAGCCAGGCUCUCGCAGAAGGAGUGAAGUCAUCUUCAGGACACGGUGCAUGAGACCAUCUCCUGGGCGUGUUUGCACUUUAGCAGAUCGUCGUUCACCCCUGAGAUUCUGGGAUCUGGGAGGGGCCCAUCCUCCUCUCCUGCCUCCAGGGGAGUGCAGACACACGGAGUUCUCUUUGCAGCUGUGCACUGACUGCUUUCCCACUCGCGGGCUCUGAGCUCCGUGCAGGCAAGAACAGGGCACAGUUUUGCUUUCUUCAUUUUCAGUUACCCACCAUCAAUUGUAGUCUGGAAGCAGAUGAUCCUUCUUCUGAUGGAUCCUCAGAAGACCAGUAGGAGCCAAACAUCUACCAAACCACUCACCUCAUGUCGUCUUAUCACAGAGGCAUUCUGUCACCUCACACCAUCGCUCGGAGAAGGGUGAGUGCAGUGACAGAGAGAGAGAGAGAGAGAGAGACCACAUUCACAUGACUUUUAUUAUAGUCUCUCAUUAUAAUUGUUCUAUUUUAUUAUUAGUUAUUGUUCUUAAUCUCUUACUCUUCGCUUAGAAGUGAAACUUUGUGGUAGGUUUGUAUGGAAAAGAAAAAGCAUAGUAUGUACUGGAUUGGGUACGAUCUAUCCACAGUUUCAAGUAUCCACCGGGGGUCUUCAAAUCCCCUUCUAAUAAGGGCUGUGGGGACUAUUAUAUCUUUUUUUUUAAAACAAGAAGCCCAGGGUAGGGUUGUUUUAGGGUUGCUUAAUUCAGCAGCUUGACAGGGAUCACGACUUUUUGCCUCUUGCGUAAUAUGACUGUUGGGGCUCAGGGGUCAUGUGCACAUCCAGUCCUGCACAGUGUUUUUACUGCUGGUGGACUCUCCAUCACACCUCUUCAUAAGAGUGAAGAAACCUUCUUUUGAAGGCCCAGUCCAAUUCCCUCGGUCUUGUUUGUCAGAGUUGAGGCCCAUGUCCCCUCCUAGACUGGUCACUGCCAAGAGAGUGGGAUUCUUUCCAGCAGUGACUGCCUGUUCAUGAGUUCACCCUGAGUGUCAGAAGAAACGGGAGACCCCCGUGCUCAGGAGCAAGGUGCCACCGAGCGGGGUCCCUGUGGAGGCCGUGGUUCUGGAGGCCCCUGGAGGCAGGUGGUGGUGUCUGGUGACUAGGAUGGGACCUGCUGAGACACCUCCGUCUUUCUGGAACCUGCAGAAACCCGAAGAAGCCGGAGCAGGGUGAGACUUCUCACCAAAGUCAGCUCUGUCUGCGGUGCCUGGUCGAGGCAGGAAGGAUUGGUUCAGGGAUGGACAUAUGAUUUAAGUUUGCCCAGUCAUAGCAAAGCUUGCUACCUGCAGUGGAACAUGGAAGCUGGUGAUGUCAGGAUCCAAGUCUUCUACCACAAGACAAGAACUUGGAGGUGCUAGGGGGUUGCCACGGGGGACAGCUAACUCCAGCUUUACCCUGGGAUCUAAAACCCGAUUUAUCUCUGAACUACUUAAUUAUGUAAAUGGACAAAAAGAAGAGGAAAAAAAAAAAUCACCUUAUUGUUUAAGAAGAUUUGAAUUGGAUUUUCUCAUUAGAGUUCCAAGGAGAUGGAACUGGAGUGAAGAAAUCUGUUGAAGACCUAGAUUUCCAAUUAAUAAGUUGUAGGUUUCUGCAUACGGUGGUAUGUAUGUGCCUUGUUUGUGGUUUUUCAGUCUUAUAAGUGAAGAAAGGUUGCUGCCCCACGGUCCUCGUAGGACCGCUGUGAGGAGGAUCUGCCACAUAUGUGCUCAGAGUUCUGUUGGAAAGGAGAGAAGGGGAGCACCCUCAGCGGGGUUGACAUUGUGCAGACGGGAGUCCACUCUCUUCUGGUCACUGGGGUAUAGCAAAGCCUUCCAGAGUUUUCUCAGUCCUGUUCCCCUGGCAGUCACACAAUGGGCAGAUGAUGCCCUUUGUGUAUCUGGUUUGAUAGACAUCUCACAGUAUCGGUUCUCAAGAGGAAGGUUUCUUUCCUUAGUCUCUCCUGGGUUUUCUGCUUGGGGUCAGGAAGGGAGGACAGAGGCAAGGAGUUGACUAAAGAGAGUGCCAUGCUGACUUGGGGAAGAGCUAUGGUAGGAGAGAGGCGACUACACAUUAGGAUGCAGAGAGAGCACAGAUGCACUUGCCUUACCUAAGUUCCUCAUUUGUUUCCAGGUGGACAUUUUAAAAUAGCUCAGUGUACCAUUGGGAUAAGAAGCAGACAGCCAGGCUUUUUGGUCUGGGUACCAGCUCUCUGUGAAACACUGAGCUAGUGACCAAAUGACUGAAGCCUCCUGAGACCUCAGGUUUUCUCAUCUGUUAAAUGGGCAUCUUGUGCCUUCCCCGGCAACCUCAUCUUGCUGGUGUGGGGGUAAAACGAAAGAAUGUAAGUAAAAAUGCUUUGUAGGAAGAGAACAUACCUGGUGAAAUUCAGAAGCUGCCCAUGCUUUUGAAGGCUUCUUUCUUGCUCACUGAAGUAUUUUGCAGAGAGAAUUCUUGCUCUAUGAAUCAUCUAUUCCGGUGGCGUACCUCACAGGGCAUGGUAACUUCUGCUUACAGUAUCCAGGAUUCAGUGUGUACAUGUAGCUACUUUCUAGCAAAGGCCCGUGUCUCCUCAUCGUCCUCACCCACCACUGUCCUCACCUUAAGCCUCUGCAUCCUUAUCAUCACUACUAUCAUUUAUUCAAUGCCAGAGGUCUGUCAGCUGUUCUGGUUGGUUCUUUAUGUACAUUUUCUAGUGUAAACUCAGGCUAUCCCUGUGAGAUAGUAUCCCCUUUUCACAUAGGAGAAAAUCAAGAUGCAGAGAGAUUGAGUGUCCCAAGGUCACGCGGUGAGUGGAGAGCUGUGCUGUAACCCAAGCCCCUGCCCUUCACUGCAGCGCGUUGCCUUUACCAAAGGGAGCCUUGGAAUCAGACCUGGAAGUUCUGAUCUCAUUCCAUUGCUUCAGCAAUUCAACACAAAGGCUCUGGUCCAACUCUUUUUCCUUUUGUGUCUCAGUAAGUAAGUAAUAUUUCAUCCCUCUCCCCUCUGAUCCCACCCUCAUUGCCAGAUUCUGGAACCGUCUGUGUGUUUCUAGUCUAUAGUUCAGUGUCUCUCCCCAGGCAUUCGAGAAAGGCAUUCUUCACAAAAAGGGAAAACACAUUUUAUUAAAGCAAACAUGCAAUCCUCAGCACUUUUACUUAUCUUAUUUAUACACUGCAGUGCAGCUUUCUAUGACCUAGUGAUUAUCAUUUCCCAGAGCUAUCAUCAUUUUAAAGCUACCUGUUCAUCCUGCUUCAGCAGAUGGCACUACGCUAGGAGUAUUGUCAGAGCUUAAAAGAAAGAAAAACAAACAAAGGAAAGAUGGGCGGUUGGGUCAGCUUGAGGAAGAACUCUCUUGCAUUGUCUGCAGACACUUUUCACCUCAGCUGGGGCUGUGAGGUGGGAGGUGACACCCAGAGGACUCCAGUCACCAGGGAUGUGGAGGCAGUGGGGUCCCCCCCCCUUUUUUUCUUUUUCUCUAUCAAUUGGUGACCUGGAAUGGGUAGUCUGCAUACAGUUGGUUAAAGAAAGAAAUUCUUAUAUCUGAUCUUCCCAAUGAUGCGUGUUAGAUUGAAACUGUUCAUCCUUUUGUUCACCCCCCGACACGUUCUGAGCGCCUACCCCAUGUAGGGUGCCAUCCUGGGUUUGCGCUCCAGCUGCUGCAAAGAGUUCUAUGUCCUUGGGAAAACCCUUUGCUGCUGCAGACCUCAGUGCUGCCUUCUGUGAAAUGAGGCAGCUGGCUCAGGUUCCUAAGUCUUCUCUCAGAAGCAAAGGACUGGGGCUCAUAAAAGUCUUUUAUGGAUAGAAAAUCCUAAAAUUGUGAACAAGCCAGGUUUAUUCUCCAAGGAGAACUCCUUGCAGUUACCAUUCAAGUUAGAUGGCCUGCUCAAGCUGAAUAAGGACCAAGCUAUCCCUCUUCUGUUUCAAGUUCUCUGAAAUUCUUAAUACCCUAGAGCAGUGUUGCUCAAGCUUUUUUUUUUUUUUCAUUAUCUGUCCCAUAAAGAAUCUUUUGAGACCUUUUUUUUCCCUAAUACCCCCCUCCCGUGUUGAGAUCUUAAUACCACAGAAAUAACAGUUACUAGUUUAUAUACUCAAUGGAAAAACCACUUGAGUUCAUAAGAUUUUUUUGGCCCUCAAGAACCAAAUUUCACUCCUUGGGAGUUAUAUUGC